UACGUAGGGCGCAAGCGUUGUCCUGAAUUAUUGGGCGUAAAGAGCUCGUAGGCGGUUUGUCGCGUCUGCUGUGAAAACCUAAGGCUCAACCUUGGGCUUGCAGUGGGUACGGGCAGACUAGAGUGCGGUAGGGGUGACUGGAAUUCCUGGUGUAGCGGUGGAAUGCGCAGAUAUCAGGAGGAACACCGAUGGCGAAGGCAGGUCACUGGGCCGCAACUGACGCUGAGGAGCGAAAGCAUGGGGAGCAAACAGG
rnacentral:rRNA from 1 species